CACCUGUUUAACAAAAACAUGGCCUAUUGAGUAUAAUUUUAGGUCGAUCUGCUCCAUGAAUAAAUUUAAAUAGCUGCAGUAUAUUGACAGUACAAAGGUAGCAUAAUAAAUUGUCUUUUAAUUGAAGAAUUGAAUGAAUGAAUUGAUGAAAUAACAACUGUCUCUAUUUUAUUUAAUGAAUUUAAAUUUUUAGUAAAAAUUCUGAAAUUUAAUUAUGGGACGAUAAGACCCUAUAGAAUUUUAUUUAAUAUAAUUAUUUAUUUAAAUUAUUCGUGAAUAUAUAUUAAUUUAAAUUUGAUUGGGAGGAUUGGUAAAUAAAAAUAACUUUAUCUAAAAAUUAAUUUUGAUGAAAAGAUAUUUUUUUGACUUAUAAUUUAUGAUUAAAAGAAUAAAUUACCUUAGGGAUAACAGCGUAAUAUCUUUUGAUAGACCACAUUGAUAAAGAUGUUUGCGACCUCGAUGUUGAAUUAAGAGAAAAGUUAAACGCAGGAGUUUAAAAUUUUAAGUCUGUUCGAUCAUUAAAAUCUU
rnacentral:rRNA from 1 species